rnacentral:tRNA from 2 species
AAUGACGUAGGCCAACGGCAGGCCACCUGUAUAUGGAACAGGAUGUGCGGGUUCGAUUCCCGUCGUCAAUA